rnacentral:rRNA from 13 species
GCUCGUCUCAAAGAUUAAGCCAUGCAUGUCUAAGUAUAAACGACUCUAUACUGUGAAACUGCGAAUGGCUCAUUAUAUCAGUUAUAGUUUAUUUGAUAGUCCCUACUACUUGGAUAACCGUAGUAAUUCUAGAGCUAAUAUAUGCAUCAAAGCGGAACUCUCGGGAACCGCCGUGUUUAUUAGUAUUAAACCUUCACUCUUCGGAGUUGAUUUGGUGAGUCAUAAUAACCUUUCGAAUUGCAUGACCACGUGUCGGCAAUGGAUCAUUCAAGUUUCUGCCC